CCUACGGGAUGCAGCAGUCGAGAAUCAUUCACAAUGGGGGAAACCCUGAUGGUGCGACGCCGCGUGGGGGAAUGAAGGUCUUCGGAUUGUAAACCCCUGUCAUGUGGGAGCAAAUUAAAAAGAUAGUACCACAAGAGGAAGAGACGGCUAACUCUGUGCCAGCAGCCGCGGUAAUACAGAGGUCUCAAGCGUUGUUCGGAAUCACUGGGCGUAAAGCGUGCGUAGGCUGUUUCGUAAGUCGUGUGUGAAAGGCGCGGGCUCAACCCGCGGAUGGCACAUGAUACUGCGAGACUAGAGUAAUGGAGGGGGAACCGGAAUUCUCGGUGUAGCAGUGAAAUGCGUAGAUAUCGAGAGGAACACUCGUGGCGAAGGCGGGUUCCUGGACAUUAACUGACGCUGAGGCACGAAGGCCAGGGGAGCGAAAGGGAUUAGAUACCCGUGUAGUC
rnacentral:rRNA from 1 species